rnacentral:lncRNA from 1 species
UUGAAGCAUAUUGCUUAAACUAUAGAACAACACUUUUAUUUAUGCAUGUGUAAAAACAUAUUUAAAAUUCAACCUUAAUAUGCACAAUCAGUGAGGAGACUCAAUAAUGAUAUAAACAAAACCAAAAGGUAAAAAAUAAUCAAUAAAAAUAUAAACCCAUGAGGUGAUAAGUGAAAAAUUUAUAUAAAAUACUUAGGCCCUUAUUAACUUAUUGUACAAGAAAUCAAUAUAAC